rnacentral:lncRNA from 1 species
UUUUUUUUUUUUUUUUUUUUUUGUCUUAUGGCAUUCAAACGGAUGCUAAAAAUGGGCAUAACUGACGCUAGUGGGAAAGUGGGAAGUUUCAGUUGUACAACAUUUUGGUCUGUCAAUUUUCAAUAAAUUAAGAACGUCAAUGCUUUAAUUACCACUUUUUUUUUUGGCACAUUUACAAGGAAUCAUUAAAUUCUAAAUCCUGCCAAAAUCUAUGAGCUAAGCAUCUAAAUUGUCUACGGUCUAAGUAAUGCUUUUUUAAAAAAAAAAUUUCUUUAACAACCAUUUUUAUGUAUGCAGACAUUGGGAUUUACCAACUCAAACAACAUUGCAAUUGCCGGCCUAACUUCUCUCAAUAGCCAAUUGUUCCACUUGGUGUUCAACGGCUGCAACACCGUGAAAUUGCAAGGAGUAAAGGUUUCGGCGGCCGGAAACAGCCCCAACACGGACGGGAUUCAUGUGCAAUAUUCAUCAGGAGUCACAAUCUUGAAUUCCAAGAUCAGUACUGGAGAUGACUGCGUUUCAAUUGGUCCUGGCACUACAAGUUUGUGGAUUGAAAAUGUUCUUUGUGGCCCUGGCCAUGGCAUCAGGUGACUAAAACUGAUGCUCAAUUAACAAUUAGUAGUAUCUUCUUUGAGGACUAAUUUAAUUUUUUUGGGCAGCAUUGGGAGUCUUGGAAAAGAUUUUGAAGAAGAGGGAGUACAGAAUGUGACAGUGAAAAGUGUUACCUUCAGGAAUACACAGAAUGGUGCAAUGAUUAAAUCAUGGGGUAGACCAAGCAAAGGUUUUGUCAAGGAUGUUUUGUUCCAGCAUGCCACUAUGAUCAACGUCCAAAACCCCAUCCUUAUUGACCAAAAUUAUUGCCCGGAUAACAUCAACUGUCCUGCACAGGUAUAUAAAUUAUUUAAUGGGCAUUAUUAGUUGUCAGUAUAUUUGAUGUAUUUCUAUCCACGGGAUAAAUUAAGAAUUUGGGUUAAUCCUUUUUUACUUAAACAAAAUAAAAUAAGAACAUGAAGAUGGAUGAUACACUACAAAUCUCUUUCUGGGUAUUUCAAGAUACGAACAAUUUUCUAAUAUCAUGUUAUUAAUUCGAUCUUUUUGACAGGUUUCAGGCAUAAAAAUAAACGAUGUUACGUAUCAAGACAUCCAUGGAACAUCAGCAACAGAAAUUGCAGUCAAAUUUGAUUGUAGCAAGAAGAAUCCGUGCAGUGGGAUAAGAUUGGAAGAUGUGAAAUUGACAUACAAGAAUCAACCAGCUAAAACAUCUUGUGCCAAUGCUGCUGGAACUACACUUGGUUUGCUUGGCAUUAAUAGCUGUCUGUAAGCAAAGAUCACAAACCCCUUCCCUUUUCCCCACCCCCUAACCCAAAAAAAGAAAAAAAAAAAAAACCACGCUUCCCCCAAAAAGAAAAAAGGGUUGGAGGAAGUGUAAUGGGGUACAGAUGGUAUAUUUGAAUAGAAAUUUUAGUACUUAGGUUAUAGCACAGCAAGUGACUCAAUCAAAUUAAUUUGCGGGCGCCUGAGGCGUUGCCAUAAUCAUUGUUCGCCUGGCCAUGCAACAGUCAUGAAUCUGUGAUCAACAAGUGCAAGGGACAGAAAAUAUAUUUCCCGUAGUGAAAUGGAUUAAAUUCAGAGUAAUUAACAUUGUUUUUCUUGUCUCUACUUACCCGUUGAUACUCGAACUCAAGAUCUGUCGAUUAUAUGCAAAACGUUUUAUUAACUAAAUUGCGUUUCGGUGCCCCCCGGGGCUUCUUCCGGAACUCCAAGGUCAAGUGGUCGAAUCCCACUUAACUCCCGGUGCGCUUGGGGUGGCGGUGUACUUGGGUGCAGGGGAUUAGUCGGGCUGCCUUCGGGUCUUGACCCGGACACCCUUGUGUUGACAAAAAAAAAAAAAAAAACUAAAUUGUGCUUCGGUGUCGGAGUUGUUAUAUAUAUAUAUAUAUAUAUUUCUAAAAUUGGAUGAUGUAUGACUAAAAAGAUAUAUUCUCAAAUUGGAUGAUGUAGGAAUAAAAAGAUUGAUUUUGAUAGGAAUGUUUUUCGUUUAGAUUUAAAUUUAGUCUCCCAUAUGUCAAUAAGAACCUCUAUAGAGUUAACAGCUUUUUAUGGGGAAUUUGUACAAUCUAUAUUGACAAGAAUAUUUGCUUUUAGUUCGUCCACAAAUGUUAUUAAUAUAAUGUUUUAGGAUCGAUCAUCUCUAUUGAAAUCCUCUACAUUAAUUGGUCUCUCCAUUUUAUUCAUAUUUAAAUUUAUAUAAUGUUAUAAAAUUAUGCAAUUCUGUCAUCACUUUUCUUUUGAUCUCUAGAUCAAUCUAUUAAAACAAUGAUAUUUCUAAUUUACUUGAAACAUUUGAACGGUGAAAAAUAGAUCAAAAUUAUGACAAAUUUUGAACAGUGAAACAUAUUAUUACAAGAUACGAUCAACCACUUUUCAUCCAAUCUAGUUUAAAACAUUUUUAUUUUAAGCUAAUUAUUUACAUAAUCUAGCGGGCAUAAUAAUUACAUGUGUUUUAUAGUUAUAAUAAUACCCAAGAUAGAUAGAUGAGAAAUUUAAGUGGUUUUCGUCAAGAUUUUCUAGAAAUUGUUCAGAUUUGGUGCUUUUUGGCUGGUAAAUAUGCCUCCUCCUCUCAUAGAUUCUGGUUGAAUGUGAAUAGCAAUAUUCCAGCAAGAUCUAAGGAUAUGAACUUCUUGUCAGGAAUGCAACCAUUUAAGUGGUCGGGGUUGGGUUGUAGCCGCCCCAUUGUUUAUUGGUUAAUGAAAAUGAAAAUUAAAAAAAAAUGAAAGCUUUGGUGGGCAGCUUCAUUUCGCCUACUGGAAAUGACAAACAAAAUAAUAAUUUUCAGAAAUUGAAAAUUAAAGAAAUAAACACUACUAAUUAAAAAAAAUCUAUUUUUCUGCCUCUUGUCUAUUUUCUAAUUAAUAUAACCUCUUUUUAUUAUCUUCAAUUUUGUGGAUAUUAGCAAAUUGAAAUUAUAAAAUCUACAAAGGGAGUAGAUUAUGUGUCAAACUAAAAGGAAAUGAAGAGACUCACAGUGAUAGAGAAAUAAAUAAUAAAAUUAAUGAUUAAAAUAUGAAGAAGAAUUAAAGAUAUGAAAUUUGUUAUAUUUUGUUUAUUGUUAGGAAAAACUUUUAUAAAAUGUCAAUAAUUACAUAAUGAUUUCUUUCAUUGGAUUAGAAAUUUUUUAUUAUGAUUUUAUUGUUGAGGUAGAAUUUAUUCUCGACUUUUGAGAUAUUAAUAUUUUUAAAAUUAUAGGAGAAUUGUAAUCGUGGUUCUAUGUCAAAUUAACUUAUAUUGAAAAGGUAUUUGAGCAUUGAUAUUUACUUCAGUUGUAUAAAAUUGGUUGUCAAUGGAGUUUUGUGUGUGUGUUUUUUUUUAAUCGUGACAAGUAUUGACAUUGUAUAUAUAUGCAAUUUAGGAUCUUUUGAAUGGUUACUUGAUUUUAAAACUUAUACAUGGAUGGUUGUUAGGGAUUUGGAUUGUCGAUUCAUACAAAGUGUGGAAGAAAAUGAUUCAGUAUACUGUAUUUUUCUUUCUUAGUUUUGUACAAAAGGGCAAUUGAGAAUUUUUGAAAGAAAAUUUAAGUUCUUGGACCUACAUUGUCACUAAACAAUAAAAGUAGAGGAGGUAUACGUAAUUUUUAAAAUUUGAGGGGAGCUCUUUGUAAUUGUGAGAAACUUGAGGGGAGGUUUGUGAAAUUAUCCCUUCAUCAAAAUCAAAAUCAGCCUGCAAAACAAUUAAUCAAAUUCAAGGAUCACAGGUCUAUGCAGCCAGAUCUUUCCUAAAAUCAAAUUCAGAAAGUAUGUCAAAAGAGGGAUUUUUUUUUUCCACCAAACAAAAAAAAAAAAAAAACCUCGCAAAAACCAAUUUGGUCAUACCUGGAAUAAAGAAUGCCUGAUAGCCAAAAUCCAAUGCCAACAGCUAUUAUGCACUAACAAAAAGAAACAAAAGAGGAAGAAGAACCAUUGCAAACUGUCGUAACGUUAUUAAGAGACAAUUAUGUGACAACCAGAGAUGUUCUAAUUUCCGUAACCAUCGCACCUUUAAUUCACAUAAUGAUCAGGAUAUUGCAAAUUAAUUAUCAAUUCGAAAUGACAUAAAACCCCGCAAAGUUCUACAACCUGCAAGCGUUAAUUGCCAGGUCGAACGGGAAAGAAGUGAUUUCACACAUAAACAGGGCAAUCUAUAUCUAUAUCUAUAUAUAUUAGAGAGCAGGUUUUUGACGAGGAGUUUCCACAAGCCUUAGAUCUAAAUUCUUUUUUAUUAUAAUUUUAGAUUUAUUUUAAUUUAAUAACACUUAUCUUCUCUUUAUCCCUUUCCACUCCUCAAUUUACUGACCCACUAACCCACAAAAUCUCAAUUUACGUGACCCACUAACCCACAAAAUUAAAACUCCUAAAUUUUAACUAAUAGAUAAUAAUCUCUCCAACAAAAUGAUAUUUGUAAAUUCCAAUUCACGUUCCACAUUUACCAUUGAUACUUACCACAUUACUGAUAACAAUACUCACACUUACCACAUCGUAAUUAUUCACAAAACUGAUGAUCACUAAUCUAUUUAACCAAUUUCAUUUGUCAUCACACAAAUUAAAUAUAGUGAAAAAAAGACUAUGUAUCAUACUAUCACCAUGGAUGAAUCCUACUUACAAACGUUUCAAUCAGUGAUAAAACCAAGAUUUUUUUCCUAGAGGGGCUAAAAUUUUUCCUAACAUAAUUAUUUUUAUAAGUUAUGUUCAAAAUAAUUUUCAUUUAUUUAAAUAAAUGACACCUAAAAAUAUCAAAUAUUAAUUUUAAUUAUAAAGGACUUAAAAAAUAAAUAACUUUUUUUAAAAAAAAUAAGUUCAAAGGUAGUUAAUUCACACACAUGUGCACACAUAUAUACAUAUAUAUAUAUAUAUUCUCAUAAUAUAAAUUAAAAUUGUAAAAAAUUAGGAGGGUUAACCUUAUUUUACACAAAUAUUUACACAAUAUAAAUUAAAAUUUUUAAAACGUAGGAGGGAGGGGCUAUGACCCUCAUUAGCCCCCCAUUGGUUCCAUCAUUGAUUUUAAUGGCGUUAUAAUUUCAAACUUGCAAGAUUACAAAUGAGAAAACAACAGAUCGCAAAAUGAAUCUUACGCUAUAGUGAUCCCAUUGAAAUAUUUUUAAAAAGUUCAGUAAGUUCACUUUCAAGAAAUAGAAGUCUCGCUGAACAUUUUUUUUGUAGUAUAAACUCCACAAAAUUCAAUCGAAUUAAUUAAAUCAUCAAUAUUGGUUUUCAUGCUAAAAGUUGAUUGAUGUAAAAAAUUUUCGUAUUUUUUGUACAAAAUUAUCAAAUCGAAUGCAUAAUGUUUGUAAGUAUUUCAUUUUCAAAUAAUAAUUUUCAUCUAUUUAAAUAUAUGACAUCUAAAAAUAUCAAAUAUUAACUUUAAUUAUAAUGGGACGUAAAAAAUAAAUAACUUUUUUUAAAAAAAAAUUAAUUCAAAUGUAGUUAAUUCACACGCACGCGCACACACACAUAUACAUAUAUAUAUAUAUAUAUAUAUAUAUAUAUAUAUAUAUAUAUAUAUAUUCAUAAUAUAAACUAAAAUUGUAAAAAAUUAGGAGAGCCAACUUUAUUUUUCACAAAUAUUUACACAAUAUGAAUUAAAAUUUUUAAAACUUGGGAGAGGGGACUAUGGGCCCCAUUAGCCCCCAUUGGUUUAAUCAUUGAUUUCAAUGGUAUUUUAAUUCCAAACCUGCAAAAUUACAAAGAUAAAAAAUAAUUGAUCACAAAACGAAUCUUACAUCAUAAUGAUCCCACUGAAAUAUUUUAAAAAGAUUCAGCAAGUUCACUUCCAAUAAAUAUAAGUCUCGCUGAAUAUUUUUUUUGUAGUACGAACUCCACAAAAUUUAAUAGAAUUAAUUAAACCACCAAUAUUAAUUUUUAUACUAAAAGUUGACUGGUGUAAAAAAUGUUCCCACCUUUGUACAAGAUUAUCAAAUCGAAUGCAUAAUGUUUGUAAUUAUUUUAUUUUGAAAUCAAAUAAAACAUGCAAUUACAUUUAUUUCUAUUUAUAUAUCCCUCAUUUUCUAAUAUAAAUUUCUAUUAUUAUUUCAAGAUCUAUCUUCUGCAAACACGCAAUUUUUGAAUGAUCUACAGAUUUUGUCAUACUUUGAACUAUUGUUAGACCAAUCAUAAAUUGUAAUUAUGUUGGUAUAAUUUUUUUUAACUUUUUUUAAAUUUACCCUCUCUUUUAAUUUUAGUCAAUAACAUAAGCACUGGCAUUCACACUAGUAAUUAAUUAAUUGUCAAGUGUAUAAUCAUACAUUCAAUGCACAAGAAGGACAAUACAGUCAACUUGACAAUAUCUGAUGCUUCUAUUAUGUGUAGUCAUGGCUUCACCACCUAUCAAUACUCACUUGAUUAAAAGACAAAGAUAAUCUAUAACAUGAUGUUGAAAUUCAAAAAUGAAUUUGGCUAAUACCCAUUUUUAUAUAAUAUAAGGAUAUUAUGAAUGAAGUUGAUUUUUGAAAAUAAUUUUUAAAUUAAUUUUAUUAGGGUACAAUAUAUAGAAAUUCUCUCCAAUGCAACAGAAAGGAGUCUAAUUCUAAUAUAAUAUACCUAUAUAUUUUUUAAUACGCGUGAUUAAUUCAGUCAAAGCCUUCUCUCUCUCACAUUCUAACACAUACAGUAAUAUUCUCUCUCUCUCUUUCUCAAACACACAUAUGCUUGCUUUCAAUAUUAGAUAGUAUUUAUAAACUAAGUGGAUAUAAAAUAAAAAAAUUUUCUUUUAACUCAAAAUACAUAGUAUAUUUUUUUAUAUAUAAAUUUAAGAGCAUGAUUUAUGUUAAAGUUGACCAUUGAACCCUCUCAAUAAAAGGUCCUGGCUAUAUACAUACAUAUAUAUAUAUAUAUAUAUAUAUAUAUAUAUAUAUAUGUUAAAAUAAAGAAUUUCAUUUCAUUGUCGAUUGCAAUUGAUUAUCAAACAUAUAAGUUUAUGAUCUCAGCAAAUUAAUACUUAAUAUUUAAAUUUGGUCUUUCAGGUUUCAGACUUUGGUUUUCAGCUUAAUUUACUAAACCCCCUUUAUGCCUUAUACACGAGAUAAACUUAAGAGCGGAGUCAAAAACUAUUGAGCUAGUGUUGGUAGCAGUUAUAUUUUAUUUUAUAAAUGCAUCUAAGGUCUUAUUAUACCACUUGUCUCUUGAUGGAAGUAUAGUCCAAUUUACUGGUCCGCAUAGGACUUAGCAACCACAAAUCCAGCAAGCACUUUCACCAAAGAAACAGCCAAAACCCCAAUUUCACACUUUCCAUCUCAACAAUUACACACUUUUAGUGUAAUUACCAAAGAAACAGCAUGCUUUUUAGUGUUUUCUUGCAACAAUUACACACUUUCCAUCUCACUUCUGGCGUUUAUUGCUUGCUUUUGCUUCCAAAGUGCUUCAAAGUCACAUUUUAUGCUGCACUAAGUCCCACUAUAAAUAUCCCACCCAACCGUUCACCUCUUUAUCAUCGAAACUCCAUUUACUAAUCUCUUCUCUACUGAUAGUAGUAAGUUUUUGCUCAAGAGGUGAAAAUGGAGAAGCCCAUAAGUCUUUUUGUUGUCACAUUUCUCUUCUUCUUGUUAAAUCAAUCGAGGGCCAUUGUGGGCAAGUACAACGUUCUGGAAUUGGGAGCAAAGGCUGACGGGAAUACAGAUUCAACCCAGUCUCUGUUGAGUGCAUGGGCAGCAGCUUGUGGCUCUUCCAAACCAUCCACAAUUCUUGUACCAAAAGGGAGGUUUUUAGUCAAGCGAGUACAAUUCUCUGGACCAUGCAAGAAUAAAGCCAUAAACUUUCGAAUUCGGGGUACCCUUGUGGCUCCUUCAGGUCAUGAAGCUCUUGGAAAUGCCGGUUACUGGCUUCACUUUCAGAAUGUUGAUGGAGUCACCAUUCAUGGUGGCAUUCUGGAUGCUCGAGGUGCUGGUCUCUGGGCUUGCAAAGCAGCCGGGAAUGGGUGUUCUAGCGGCGGCGCGACGGUAUGUAAAAUUGACCAAAUUGUCCUUCACCGUCUUACUUUGGUUGCUUCUGUACCUGUGACAGAUCUUGAAGGGCAGUUUUGGCCUUUUCGCAUAUGGACGGAUGCUAAUUAUGAGCAUAACUGAUGAUAGAUAGUGGGGAAGUGGGGGGUUUCAGACUUUAAUCGAAGACUAACUAAUAAAUAGUAAAACUUUAAUAAAAUCUUGCUGAGCUGCUUCUUUUCUCUCACUUGAGUGUGAAAUAGAUUAAAUUAAACUGCUAAUUGUUUUUUUUCUUCAUUGUAGAAUUAAUGUCAUAUAUUUCUGGGGUCCUCAUUGGUGGUUACAAAACAAAAGCAGCAGAAUAGCUUAGACCUUUUGGAUCUCUUCCGUUACACAAAACUUUUUUUUGUUUUUUUGUUUUACUUUUUUUUCGAACCAUGGGGGUAAUGCAGUAGUAAGCGAAAUUUUAAGGACUCAUUUAAUUUUGGGUUUGAAUCUUACUCUGGACUUGAACUCCCGUGACUCGCCCGGGGCGCGUUGCAUGGCGUACUCCUUCGAUUUGGUAUGUCGGCUCGGUACCAAAGUGACUCGAAUCUAGGCAUGUUCCGGGUUAGCCAAAAAAAAAAAAAAAAAAGAAGUUUUGCUAUUUUGCUUGUCAAUCCACAUUAAUUUUCAACGUAAUUAAUUACAUCAUGGUUGAUUAGCAAAUUGUGUGAAUCUAGCAAGUCACUGAUUAAUUGAGUUUAGUGUUUUUUGUCCAAUUAAAACUCUUUAUGCAGACGCUAGGAUUCACCAACUCAAACAACAUUGCCAUUACCAGGCUCACUUCUCUCAACAGCCAAAUGUAUCACCUGGUAUUCAUCGGUUGCAAUCAAGUCAAGCUGCAAAAGAUUAAAGUUUUGGCAGCAGGAAACAGCCCCAACACGGAUGGAAUACACGUCCAGUUUUCAUCUGGGGUGUCUAUUUUGAGCUCUAGGAUCAGCACAGGAGAUGAUUGUGUCUCAAUUGGCCCUGGCACCACUAAUUUGUGGAUUGAGAAUGUUUUGUGCGGCCCCGGCCACGGCAUUAGGUAAAACUCAAAUUGAUAAUAAUACGAUUUUUGUUAUGCAUGUUGAGAUUAAUUUUCUUCUUUAUGUAAGGAUUAAUUCAAUUAACUAACAUGGAACAUUAAUAAAAGUAAUUAUAACGUGGUAAAUUUUUUUGGUUUUUUCUUUUGCAGCAUUGGGAGUCUAGCAAAAGAUUUUGAAGAAGAGGGAGUACAGAAUGUGACAGUAAAAAGAGUUAAAUUCAGGAAUACACAAAAUGGUGCAAGAAUUAAAUCAUGGGGUAGGCCAAGCAAAGGAUUCGUGAAGGAUGUCCUAUUCCAGCACGUCACUAUGAUCAAUGUCCAAAACCCCAUUGUUAUCGACCAAAAUUAUUGCCCAAGGCACAUAAAUUGUCCUGGCCAGGUAAAGUCCUACCAAUUUAAUACAUUAUUCAUUUGGCUUUUUACAAGGGGAAUAAUGUUUGUUCCACCUCAAGAAAUUGCCCCGUUUGGAUUAGCUGUUUUUAAAAAAUUUUACUGUAGCAGAGUUUUUAGAGUACAUUUUGGGAUUUUUUAGAAAAUAUUUUGGAAUAUUUAAGAGUAUUAGAGUUUUUAAAAUCUAUUUUGAAAUUUUUUUGAAUAUUAAAAAAAAUUAAGACUACUUUUUAGAGUACUUUUUAAAAUUUUUUUAUAAUAUUUGAAAAAUUAAACAUUAUCAAGAAUGCGUUUAACUUGAUCGCGAAGUUAAUUUUCAAUUUUUUUUAAAAAAAUGACAAAGAAAAACAAAUAUCGGAUCCCCACAUCUUCCUUUGGAUAUAUCUAAAUAUCUUGAACCUUACAUAUAUUUUUUUUUUCAAUUUUUCUUUUUGGUUGACAGGUUUCGGGAGUUAAAAUAAAUGAUGUAACAUAUCGCGACAUCCAUGGAACAUCAGCAACAGAAGUUGCAGUUAAAUUUGAUUGUAGCGAGAAGUAUCCAUGCAGCGGAAUAAGAUUGGAAGAUGUGAAGUUGACAUACCAAAAUCAGAAAGCUAAAUCAUCUUGUGCCAAUGCUGCUGGAACUGCACUUGGUUUGCUUGAGCCUGCAAGCUGUUUGUAGGCAAAGAUCAUAAGUCAAGAAAAAAAAAAUGCAGAUGAUUUUGCAUCUAGAAAAAUGAAAUUGAGAGUCGAAAGGUACGUGGAGGCUCGUCGCUAAAAGCCCCUUUCAAAUUUAUUAUAUAGAUUAGAUCUUGCUUGGGCCUGUGGUGUUGGCAUAUGUUCAUUGUUCGCCUGGACAUGCAAGAAUCUUGAUGAGUAGUAAGUAACAAUACCAUUGGAGGGCUAUGAUGACUGAUUUCGUAUUUUGGAAUGAAUUUGAUUUUGAAGUAUCCAGUGGAAUUGUUUUGUCCUUGUCCUGCAAAUAUAUAUAUAUAUAGAAAGUAUUUAUUAGUUUAAUUAAUGCACUUUAUACCUCAAAAAAAAAAUCAUCCAAAUACAAGUUGGGGUAAAGGGCAAAUCUCACAAUAAGAGGAGCAAUUGAGUAGAGCAUUGGGUCAAAGAAUAUCUUUCAUUACAGGUAAAACUUCUUUGAGCCCAAUGGAUUUAUAAAAAUAAGGAUUAAGUUUUUAUCCACUGUCAAUAACAACAGGUAUGGAUGUAUAUCAAUUAUGUACAAAGUGAAUUUCAAAUGUGAAAUUAGAUUAUCCGGUGGCACGUGGCUACGUCUGCCUGUGUAUACAUUAACAUUAACAGUGUAUAAAAAAUUAUCCUAAAAACAAAGUAAACAAAUGAAUUAGCAAAAUAAACCCCAUCUUUCUCUCCUAACAAUCUCGAAUAAGAAAAAAAUUAAUAAAACAACAAAAAAAGGGGAAAAGAAUCACUUGAAAAAAAGAAAAAGAGACAUAAAAUAUAUAUAUAUAUAUAUAUAUAUAUAUAUCUUGAAAGGAAGAUGCAGCUUAUUGGAGCCUGUGGAAAAGCAUGGCUAGUGAAAUUAGUUGUAUCCCAACAAUAAGAUGCAUAUAUAUAUAUAUAUAUAUAUAUAUAUAUAUAUAUAUAUAUAUAUAUAUAUAUAUAUAUAUAUCUUGAAAGGAAGAUGCAGCUUAUUGGAGCCUGUGGAAAAGCAUGGCUAGUGAAAUUAGUUGUAUCCCAACAAUAAGAUGCAAAGAUGAUAGUUUUUUAAAAACAGAACACCAAGCUCAUUCGAGGCAAAGCAAAACAGAACAGCAUCACAAAGAACUCAGCGACACAUAUAUACGUGUACAUGAAAUAGUUUUAUCAUAAUCUAAUUGUUAGAUCGGAGCUAUUAAAUUGUUGAAAUAGAAAAACGUACACAUAGACAAAUUGUGGAGAAAGCUUGAAAAUCGCCUGUGUCUUCGGUUGCCAUCAAGCCAUCACGUUAGGGUGACAGUUGCAUGAGAUAGAAGAUGUAGACAGGAAAUAUGUUCGCCUGUGUCUUCGGUUGCCAUCAAACCAUCACGUUAAGGAAAUAUGUAGACAGGAAAAAAACUAUCUCCCUGUACUGUCAUUUGUUGGAAAAAAACUAAGACCUUAUUGCGAGGCUCAUUUGAGUGUGCUCAAUGAAAAAAUGAUAGUUCUCCCUGUGAGUUUAGUCCCACAUCGAAACUUAGCAUGAGUGAGUAGCAAGAUUUAAAUUCCUCAGGGCUUGCCUUCCAGUCAGCAAUUGCCUGGAUGGGUAAGUCUUAUGGGUCCUCCCUUAGGUUGAAUGAAACUCUUUUUAGUGUGCGUUAAGUUAUAGUUAAAUUAUCUCUAGAGCUGUAAACGAACCGAAACGAAUCGAGUAUUUCAUGUUUGAGCUCUGUUCGUUAAGCGAUUCGAACUCCGUUCGUGUUCGUUAGUUAACUUUCGAACUCUAAAUCUGUGUUCGUGUUCGGCUCGUUAAGUAAAGUUCGUGUUCGUGUUCGGCUCGUUUAAUAUAAACGAGCCGUUCGCGAACACGCUCGAAAAGGUCGAAUCCAGAUUAUUCUAGGCCUUAAAUAUGCCACACAAAUCAUUAAUCAUCCUAAAAAAUAAUUAAAAUACUAAAUGACUAAAUUCCAUUAUUCAAUAACUGCAUAACCAACAUUAACAUAAAAACAACAAAUAAAACAAAGUAAUUUGUUCUUCAAAUAUAAAAAUUCGGCCAUAAGACAAGUACAAAUUUUCGGCAGCAGCCAAUGGGGAAGGAAAACAAAAGUAAGGUUGGAAAGGGAAGGGGAAAGUUUUAGAAUUUUUUAUGAGUAACCCUAAAAUUUGUCAAAUGAUACAACAUUGACUUUUAUGAGCCAACAAAAGAUGGAGAUAAAUUUUGGGACGCUCUUAAAAUUUUGUCAAAUGAUAAUUAUGUAUUUGUCAUACGCAUGUAACCGGAUAGAAUCGUAUAAAAUACAACAGCAUUGAGUCCUUGUCCCAAAAGAUGAGACGUAUAUUUAUUUUAUCUUAAAGGCGUUAUCAUUUACAAUGCAAAAACAAAUGCAAUUAGGGGGUGAUGAUAUUUUUUAUGUACUCCCAGCGUCCCAAAAUUUGGGACGCUCUGGGAAACACACUUUUUAUGUAUAGUAAUAUUAUGGGGACACACUUAUCUGAAUCUUCCAAUCGUACCCUUUGCUGUUUGUGGAGUAAAACAACAAACUGUUGAGGACCACUUGCCAUUAAGUCACUUUGACUAAAAGGCAAAGACAAUCAGAAGGGUAUAACUUCCGAUGAUGUGUUAUGGCUGGGUCCAUCAGACUUGGUUAGUGCAAUCUUAACUUUUCAAUAGAAGGGUAUAACUGAAAAAUAAUUUUAAAAGUGGUUUGACUUUUUCAAAGUGACUCAAGUUUUGGGACAAGCAAAAAGUGGAAAUAUGACAUUAACAAUGGGACGGAGGGAGUACUACUUAUGAUGUGCCCUUAAGGCACAUAGUAGAAUAAGUUUAUUCUAUUUAUGAUUAAUGUUGUGUUAGUGCAAGAAUUUUCUUACACAUUGACUUCAAUAGUUAAUAUUUAUUGUAUCUUCAAACUUAUAACCACGGUCUACAUUUUAAAGGCAUUAUGGAUCUUAAGUCCACAAGAGCGAAAAAAUUGGUGUUGAAUUCGCCUCGAGUUGAAAAAAUUCGAGAAAAUUGUAAAGAUACAAAUACAUUGAUGCUGAAAAUUACAUAGCAUUCCUAAAAGUAUUUGUAUUUUAAUACGAAUAAACUAUUUGUUUAUUGUCUUUCACUUAAGUUGUCAAUUUUUUUUCAACAAUUAAUAUUUGAUACAAGUACAUAUAUCAUUCUACUGUUGACCUUGAUCACGUUAGAUUGUUUAAUUAGGCCGGUCACCUAAAUUGUAGUUUAUGCAUGUUAAACUCAUUAAUUAUAUUAAUAAUUACAGAUUCCACCGUACAUCUCCAAGUACAUAUCUGACCACAGAUCCACGUUAAACUUUGAUAGGUUGCACUUUUGCACUAUAUAUAAAUAAUCUCAAGAUUAGUAACUCCUUAAUCUACUCAAACUUGAUUUCCAUUCUCCUCUCCUUUUUACUUUCAUUGCCUUGAAGGCUAAUAAUCUAACAAUGGCCAAAUGCAUUUCGAUUCUAUCAAUCCUUUUUCUCUCCAUUCUUUGCCAUUUCACUCCACAUAUUGCAGCUUAUAAUGUGGUACAUUUUGGCGCACGGGGAGAUGGAAUAAAAUAGGUUGAAAAUGUCACUAAUCAAUUGUAAAACAAAGAAAUCAAAAGGCAGAAUUGAGAAAAUGAGAUUACAAAGAAACCACCGACAAAAAAAAAAAUAUAUGGAGUCUCAUGCAAUAACUGAUCGAUCUUUUAUAUCCUUUACCUAUGCAACAACAGUUUUAUUGUUUUGAAAACUUUUAGAUCGGAUACCUGACCAAGUAUAAUGAUCCCAAUGUCCCCAAAAUUACGUUGCUUUUACAUGAUCAUGUUUCUGAUUUCUUGUAAGAAACUCACAUCUUAUCUGUCAUUCCUUCUUAAUCAUUAGCGAAUAUGUUCCCAGCAGCUAGAGUCCCGCCGGUGUCUGCGGUUGCCAUUAAGAUAUCACGUUGUAUGAACACUUGCAUGAGCUAUAGGUGGUGCAGAAACAAAUAUAUCCUUUAGCUCAGAAUCAGUGUAUACACCAGCGCGUUUAGAUGCCUAUCACACGUGCAAAAUUUAGUGUUCAAAUUGUAACAUAUAUCUCGAUUUGUUAUUGUAUAUAUAUACUGACAGUGUAGAAAAGAUUAAUCGUUCAUAAAUAUACAAAAGUGCUAUUUGUUAUAGACUUAUAGUGCAUACUUUGCUACAAGGCCUUUCCUCUUUGGUUUGUAAACAAAAUUUAGAAAAAGAAAAGGGAAGUUUGAUGUAUAAGGUUAAGUCGGUCACUAAUAAAUCAUAUUCAGGUAAGAUAGUCUAAUAUUUUUUUGCAUAACUGUUUGUGAGUUAUAUAAUCAGAUUAAUGCUUUUUCCUAUAACUAUUGGUGCAGAGAAUUUUUUUUUUAUAUUAACUGUUCUAAAUAAUGACACUUAAAUUUGAAAUUCAAUUUAUACACAUAUAUUAUGCAUUUUGCACUUGCUAGUGAUUCAAAAAAUACACAUAUUAAGUCUAGUGAUUAAAAAAUACACGUAUUAAGUAGGAAAGAUCAAUUCUAUGUAUAAGUGUCAUAUUAUCAAAAAUCUAGAAAAUGAGCCUUCACCCUUAUCAUUAGUGCAAUCGAAGCUUCAAAAUGUGAGUUUAGAGGAAGUGCUUGCAAUUGCACAUACCCUGGCUUGUCUGGUUGAUCUUCAGAUAAAUUAAGUGGAGGACAUCAAUUUGCAAAUAAAAUUUGCAUUCAGCUGAUACAGGAAGCUUAAUUCAAUGUAUACAGUUCCAGCAAAUGAUCAUCUAGGUAGAAAAAGCUUUUGCUUAUUGGUAUCGGACACACAAGAAUCAAUUCAACUAAAUUUAAUGUAUACAAUCGAGAUAAUCAAUCAAUCAAUCAAUCAAGGUUGAACGAGUGUUUUCAACAGGCGAGAAUUGAUUAACAAUCAGUUCAUGCAGAUAUAUCAUUUUCUCUGUUCUUGAGUAGCAUGCAUGAAAUGCCUAUUCAAUAUAUAUGUCCAGCAAUGUCUUUGAAUUGUUUGUCAAGACUUUUUUUUCCCCCCUUCUUGAAACAGAAGACAGAAAAUAUUAUGAUUAUAAUUAUCUUAAUCACAACAGAUUGGCGUCAGUCACAUGUUCAAGAGACUAAAUUGUUGGUGCUUCCUGCGUUAAUCAUGGAUCUUAAAUUCCCAAGUAUAUAUUAGCAAAUAAAAUUCAUGAUUACAAUACUAAUACCUUGCUUAAUCUGCCCCGAUAAAGAAUCUAAACCCAAAUUCCACCGUACAUCUCUGAGUACAUGACGUGGGAUUAACAGGUUUAACAUUUUAAACACCUACAUUAAUCAAUGCAUUCUUGGACUACUAUAAAUAAUCAGAGGUUGCUUCUUCAAUCUUCUCAAACUUGACAUAGAAUUAAUAUCCAUCAACCUUUCCCCUUCCUCACUUCUUGUCUGAGAAAGGCUGAACAAUGGCGAAUCCCAUUUGCAUUUCAGGGAUACUUUUUCUCUCCAUUUUCAGCCUUUAUUCACCCCUCAUUGCAGCUUACAAUGUAGUAAAUUUUGGUGCCAGGGGAGAUGGGAGAACAGAUUCCACAGCAGCAUUUCUCCGGGCCUGGAUGUCAGCUUGCAGCUCAGCUAGCCCGGCAACAGUUUACGUGCCCCGAGGGAACUUCUUGAUUAGAGCGGUAUCUUUCUCAGGGCCCUGUAGGAGUAGAAUCCAGUUCCAAAUAGAUGGAACUCUUGUUGCUCCUGACAAUUAUUAUGUCAUUGGCAACUCUGGAUUCUGGAUUUUGUUUUAUAAGGUCAGUAGGCUGACAAUCAGUGGCGGAACCAUCGAUGCCCGGGGAAAUGGAUUUUGGUCUUGUAGGAAGAACGGCAACAAUUGCCCGGCUGGAGCAAGGGUAAGUCUCCUGAUCAAAGAAUUGUUUUUGAUUUGACACAUUUGGCCUGUGGAAAUUAAUUGAGUCAAUUCUUUAUGAUUGAUUGAUUGAUUAACAAUGGUGAAAUUGAAUGCAGUCGAUGAUGCUAAUGUGGUGUAACGAUGUAUUGGUAAGCGGAUUGACAUCAUAUAAUAGCCAGACAAUUCACAUUGGCAUCGACAACAGCAGCAAUAUGAAGUUACAGAAUCUGAAAAUCACUGCCCCAAGUGGAAGCCCCAACACAGACGGCAUACAUGUGGAAUCAUCUACGGGUGUCACAAUUGUGGGCAGUACCAUCAAGACAGGCGAUGACUGCAUAUCAAUUGGUCCUGGCACCAUGAACCUGUGGAUUUCAAAUAUUGGCUGUGGCCCUGGACAUGGAAUCAGGUAAAAAUAGACAUUGUCGUGCAUUUUCAAUUUGCAUGAGCCCAAUAAGAACAGAUGAUCAGGUUCCAUGGAGUUGUCUAGCUAUUACAUUUUUCCUGGUUCAGUACUUUCUGCUGCCACUGAUUCUAUGAUGGUCAAUUGCCCGGUCAAUUAUGUACUAAUUAAUUACUGAGAAAAUUACACUUUACCCCCUGUGGUUUAGUAUUUUUCUACAUAACCCUCCUAUGAUUUCGAAAAACUAUACAUAACCGCCUCAUAAUUUGGAUUAAAAUGUCAAAAUAACGGAAAUAGUCAUUCGUAGCAGAACUUUUAAAAAUGUCGAAAUUACCCUUAUAAAUACAUGACACACUAACCCCGUAUAAUUUUUAUGUUUUAUCAUAUAACUCCCUUAUGAUUUAAUGAUUUACCAUAUAACCUCCCUAUGAGUUUCAAAAUAUACACAUAACCCUCCUUGGUAGGGCUGUCAACGGGUCGGGUCCGGGCCGGAAUUCAUUAUUCCUGACCCGGACCCGAAUUACUGUACCGGAACCGGAUCCGACCCAUUUACCCGACGGGUCUUUUAUUCUAUGUUCCGGAUCCGGAUCCGGCGGGUCCCGGAUCCGGGUCGGGUCUACCCGCACAAAUUUAGCAAAAUUUAUAAUUUCUAAUAAAAAUGAAAAAAAUAUAUAUUUGUAAACUAAUUUCUAACUAAUGCAAAGAAAAAACCAAAUAAGAAAAGAAAUCAAAUUGACUUUAUUCAAAUACAUUAUCCUAAUCAAAUUAUAUUGAUAAAUAUAUAUUUUUUAAAUUAUGAAUUCAUUUAUAUCCGGAUCCGGGUCUAAUACGGGUCGGAAUACAAUAUUCCGUAUCCGACCCGUUUUUUUGUUUGACAAAACGGAUCCGGAUCCGGAUCCGGAAAACGGAAUUAAAUCCCCUACCCACACCCGCAAUAAUUUCACGGAUCCGAUCCGGAUCCGGGUCUAGACCCGACCCGUUGACAGGCCUACUCCUUGGUUAAUAAAUAAUUUUCAACUUUAUAUAAGAGUAUUUUUUAUAUUUUAGACGACUCCGUUACGAAUGAUCAUUUCCAUCACUUUGACACUUGAAUUCAAAUCAUGAGGGGGUUAUUUAUAGCUUUUAAAACUAUAGGAGAAUUAUGUAAAAAAACUAAAUCACAGGGGAUAAAGUGUAAUUUGUCCUUAAUUAUUUGUACAAUUCUAAUCCAUCUCUCAUGAGCUUUUCAAACUAUAGUUUAGUGGAGUAUUGAGUUUUUCAAGGCACCAUGGGGGGAUCCCAACCGGCAAACACAUUAUUCACCAAAGAAACUGAAUUAAUAGUAACUGAAUUCUUAAAAGUUACACCCAACUGAAGAGAAAGUAAUUAAUGAGAGUACAUCUGAUUCUUGCAUAUUUCAUUUAUAAUAACCUCAAUUUUACUAAGUUGAUCUCGUUGCAGCAUUGGUAGUCUGGGCAAUAGUUACCAUGAAGCUGGAGUCCAAAAUGUGACAGUCACCGACUCCGUUUUCACCAACACAGAGAAUGGGGUUCGGAUAAAGUCAUGGGCAAAACCAGGUGGUAGCUAUGCAAGAAGUCUCCUCUUCAAGAACCUGAUAAUGACAAGUGUUGCAUAUCCCAUCAUCAUUGAUCAGAAGUAUUGUCCAGAUAACAGCUGCCCACAUCAGGUAAUUCUUCAAUUACAGAUCUCUAAUUCACCUUCCAUUAGGGAUUGAUUUGGAUAUUGAACACCAGACUCCCCAUCAGAUACCUAAUACAUACUCCUAGCUGCUUAGUUUAACCAAAAAAGAAAAAGGGCAAAUUACAUUUUACCCCCCUGUGGUUUAGUAUUUUUUCUACAUAACCCCCUACGGUUUCAAAAGCUAUACAUAACCCCUCUCAUGAUUUGGAUUAAAGUGUCAAAAUGACGAAAAUAGUCAUUCGUAACGGAACUUUUAAAAAUAUCAAUAUUAGCCUCAAAAAUACAUGAUACACUAACCCCGUGUGGUUUUUAUAUUUUAUCAUAUAACCCCCUUAUAGUUUAAUGUUUUAUCAUAUAACUCCCUUAUAGCUUUCAAAAUAUACACAUAACCCCCCCUUGGUUAAUAAAUAAUUUUCAACUUUAUAUAAGGGUAUUUUUGAUAUUUUAGGUGACUGCGUUACGAAUGAUCAUUUCCGUCACUCUAACAUUUUAAUCCAAACCAUGAGAGGAUUAUAUAUAGAUUUUGAAAUCAUAGAGAGGUUAUGUAAAAAAACACUAAACCACAAGGGGGUAAAGUGAAAUUUGCCCAAAAAAAGCGAAAGUGGUUUCACUUUCAGUUUAUCAACUUUCAAAAAUCUCAAAUUCAUCACAUUCAACAUUGACUUGGCCCAAGGAUUUGCUACGACCCUAGUUACUGUAUUAAUCUACAUAGCCAGUUAGACCCUAUCUCGCGCUGCAGCAGAUGAAAACAUCUCAAGUUUUUGAGUCAAAGUAAAAUCAGCGCCCAAGUUUCGACUGGUGUUUUAAGAGCAGGACAGAAUAGCAGGUCACUCAAGAUCAGAGCCAGCGUUUCAAGAGUUGGACUGAAUAACAACGACUCAGUCGAGAUCAAGAUUUAAAAGAUUUCGACUAUUAAGAUCAAUAUCAAAUAAUUGGAUGACAUUACAAACAUACAGAUAUAUGAAUGAUAAACAACUAGAUAACAUGAAUAAGUAACAUAAAAAGUACACAAAAACAUAAAGAAAUCUUGGUUUCUUGACAGAUUUUGAUAUGAUCAACUGAUUGCUGGUCUAUUCAGUUCACUCAACCCCAACAAUCACUCGAUUUUCGAUCAAAAUAGCUGGUCCAAGAUGAAUUUGAAGGCGCUAUUCUCAGCCACAACACGUUUUCCUAUGCUAAUUUAGACUAGUUAAUACUCUCUCCGUCCCAUUUUGAUAGUCCUGUUUUCCUUCUUCGUCUGUCCCAAAUUGUAGUAUCAUUUAUCAACAACAUUUGACUUUCAUCUCAUUUCUAAAGUUUUCACUAAUUUCUUUGUUUUCUUUAAUUGUGUGUGUGUGUGUAUGUGUGGAUAUACUACAGAGUUCUGGAGUAAAAGUUAGUCAAGUAAUCUACAGAAACAUAAAAGGCACUUCAGCAACCCAACAAGCAGUGAAGUUCGAUUGUAGUUCCAGCAAUCCGUGCAGUGGAAUCAUAUUACAGGACAUAAAACUCACUUACUUGAACCGUUUUUACAAGCCAACAGUGGCCUAUUGUAGCAAUGCAAUCGGAAGACAAAGCGGCGCAGUCUUUCCAAAGAGUUGCUUCUGAUGAUAAAGAAUUUAUGCAAGACUGAUACAUAAUCACAAUUUUAUGUGCAUAAUUUUAAGCUACGGGUUGUGGGAUUUUUUUUUUUUUUUUUCUCGGAGAGCUGUACCUUGUCUUAAUUUGAUAUUAUUUUUCCAAAUUAAGACAAGUAAGAUGUGUAUCUCAAUUGUUAGACCUUCCAUGUUAUGAAUUAUAAUGAGAAGUGUCUCUUAUUAAUGCUUUAAAUUUGUUUUUGGUAUUAGAUAUAUGUAUGUUGUUUUCCACACAAAAUAGAUCGGGAAAAAAAAAAGUGCACAUACCACACACAAAUAAAGGUCCAAUUCCCCUUUCUCUUCCUCCUCUCUACCUCUUUCUUGUCCAUUCCUCAUUCGAAAACUUCUUUCCCAUGGGACAGUACUAGUUGUGUUUGGAUUGCAUUUUCCGUCAUUUUUCAUGGAAAAAUUACUAUAGCGAUUUGAUAUAUGUGAGGGAAAAAGGUGAUAGGGAAAUGUGAUCACGGAAAACGACAAUAUUUUUUGACGGAAACAAGCAAUCCAAACAAGUCUCCCACUAGAAUUUUUUCAUGAGAGCUUUUAUCUUCUCUACAACUUUCUAAUUAAUGAGAGUUUCUUCUUUUAAGAUUGUCCAAAUUAUAGUUCCCUCUUUCUUAAUAUUUUCCUUCUAAGAGUUUUUGUUCCUUCUUUUUCCUUUUUUUCAUUGUUAGAUCUAAGGUUUUCUAUAAUUUGUUUUGUCAAAUCUGCUAUUUCUUAGCUUGUUUUGUCAUAUCUAAAUUUGAUGGUUUGGCCUUGUGAUACUCAAAUAGUAUAUCUAUUGACAAUAUUUUACUUUGUUCCUCGACCGCAAUUAGUGGUGGAGCCUCGUUGUUGGGGGGUGGAUAAAUUCAAAUUGUUCCCUUAAACUUUCAAAAAUUACAAAUUUGGCACACAAAUUUUCAGAACUUUUCAGUCCAAUAUACCAUUUGAAAAGUAGGUAGGUUCAUUACUUUAGACAUCAGUGAAAAUAAAAAGACAAUAACACUAUGCACGAGGAUAACUUUGUCAUAAAACCAAAAGCAAUUCGAGCUCAAAUUAUUAUGAAGUUUUAUGUCAAAACUAAUCAUAAUGAAGCUAAUUAGAUUGAGCUCGAACUUGCUUUUAUAAUGAGAUUAAGCUGAGCUUGAAUUUGCUUUUGCUAAUUAAAAUUUAUAUUAGGGAGCUAACCUUAGUUAGGUCUUUAAGAGUCACCUAACAAAUAAAGAAAAGAAAAAUGGAUGGAAGAGAGAUGAAGAAAAUGGUUCAUAAAAUCAGCCAACAUCUUUUUCAGUUUCACUAGCCUAGCUAGCUAGUAGAUUUCAUGCUUGAGCAGGGCCAUAUUCUCCGCAUAUCCCAACAACAGCCCCCGGAAUGCAGUAGCUGCCGCAACCAGGUGUAUUCCGGCAAUCAUCAUGGCUAUAACACCCGCAUCCAUCUGUGUAGUCAGUCGGCAACAUUUUUCUCAUCAUCAGUACUGUUUCUUGCUGUACAGGAAUCAAUUUUCUGGCCUCUACCUUGGUCGAGAGCAGCUCCAUAACAGCUGAAAUUGAUCAACGAUGUCAAAUUAGUCAUACAUAAUGUGUGUAUAUGUGUGUGUGUGUGUGUGUGUGUGUAUAUCCUGAGAGAAAGAAAGACUUACAAGAUUGUGCAAGCAAUAAGAGCAGAAUUAGGGAAAAAAUUGGCUUAACUAAUGAAGGGCUGAGAAGCCUUCUUUCCAUCUCUUGCAGCAAUGUUAUGUGGAGAACAAUUUUGCAACUUCAUAGUACAGGCUAACUUUAUUUGCUGGUAUAUAUUAUAUUGCCAAAAGUCAUUGGAAAGAUCAUGAACUUGUCUGCCAUUUGCAAUUAAUGGAGAUCCUGAAAUCAAGUGUGGACUUGUUAUAGAUGUUUUUAUAGUUGGAUCAGACUCAAAAAUUUUCGAAUUUCAUUUCCCUCCACAUUUUCUUUACUUGUCCGCCAUUACUGAAUCAAUGGAACAUAAACUUAGAAGAAAGGCAGAUAUGUUUGAUGGAGUCAAAGAAGAGGACACUGCAUUUUCUUCAGUCAAAAGAGUACACGUUUGAGUCUCUCUAGGUCACUUUUAUAUAUUACUCCUUGUCCUUGAAUGGUGCUAAAGUAAGUAAUCCUUCUAUAGUGCCUUUUUACUCUUCCAAUUGCUCUGGCUCAUCUCAUAUUUACCAACCUAAAAGCCUAAAAGUGUAAUGUUUCUCAUUGCAUAUGAUAUCUUGGGGAUAUAGGUAUUGGUUUGUUUGAGCAGUGCUUUAUUUGCUUAUAUUAUCGACACAUUUUGAUCAUCUUUUUAUGUAUAUACAUCAUAUCAAAAAUGUAUUACAGAUUUUUUUUCAAAAAAUUAUUCCAAAUAAUCUCCUAUCUAGUCAUUGAAAUAAUUAUUGCUACGUUUUUUGCAAUAUAAUGUAUAUGAAAUAAAAAAUAUACGUUAAAAAAUGUGUUUGUGAUGCAAAAAUAAUAAUUUUUUUGAUAAAUAAGAUUGCUUGCAGUCCAUCUUUGCAUCGUAAAUAUGUUUUCUUAGAAGCGAAAUCAAUUCCAAGAGCAGUAAUAUCAUGUUUCAGCUUUUCUUGUGACCAUUUGAAAGCAUGUUUGAAUUUGCUAUGUACUAAGUAUAACUUUUCAUUUUUCCUAGGUGAAAAUAGGUUGUAGACACGUAAUCCAGCAUGAUUUUACACUUCAUCUGAGCCUAAUUUGCAUUAUUAGCAAUAUUUGAACUUGUUCAAGUUUGUGCCACUCGUAAACAGAGAGUUAUUCAUAAACUGACCCUAAUGAAGUUUCGAUUACAUACAUCGAACUCCUUAAAUAUUCAAGAAUGCAGGAAGUGCAAGUAUGCCCUUAACCCCUUACAGAUUUUCCACUUCGGUUAUGUAACAUGUUUGUUUGGAUUGUGAAUUAUUAGAGAUAUUUUUACUGUAGCACUUUUUGUGAUGUGAUGUAUGUGAGAUAAAAAGGUAAUUGGGAAGAUAAAAAGGUGUGUUGGAAAUUGUAAUGAUGAUAUAAACAAAUAUAUUUUGACAAAUAAACUGCAAUUCAAACAAAAUAUUUUUUUCACACGUAUGUUUGUGAUAUAAAGUAAAAGUACCCAGAGAAAAAAAAAAAGAACAAAAGAAUUUUAUGUAAUUCUUUUUUCUAGACUAUGUAAAAGGUAGUACUAUUAUAGUAUUAUGGAUAAUUGCACAUUGCCCCACCAUUGUUAUGCUAGACAUCAUUGUUGUUAUCUCCUUGCAUAGUUUUGCUGAUGGUUUAAAGCAAGACAUUGCAUAAGUAGGCAUGGCCAUUAUUACAGCUUUCAACAUCACUUCGUUCCCAGCAGAGCAUAGGAGCUUAUUUCUCCAGCUUUGCAGCUUAUUUUUAAUACUCUCUUUUAUGAAUCCAAAGACAUGGUCUUUGGUUCUUGUUAUCACCAUUGGUGGUCCGAGGUGUUUUCCUUGGGUAAUUGCUUGAAUUCCCCCUAGUGCCUAUGCUUGAACUCCUUGGGUGUUUUUAGUCUCUUUUCCUAGGAUUGUCCCUUCCUCUACCUAUAUUUUGCCUAUGCUGAUUAAUGAUGUACUCAAACUAAAAGCACCAAGAAGGGUGCCUUGUACAUAUGGUGAUUUAAAGUAUUGGAAUUCUUGUUUUUUCUUCCAAAAAAAAAAAAGAAACAACAUAUUAUAUGAAUACCAAUAAUUAAAAUGUAAUUGGAAUACAACAUAUUAACUGUAUCCCUGAAAAAUGCAAGGAUAACUGAGUCAUGACUAUGGUCAUUCACCAAUAUGAGUAAUGUGAAUUUAUUUUUUUUAUUUUCUUUUCUUGUGUUCAAUAUUUUCUUGCAUUUUAGACUUUAGAGAAGGAACAUAGGGUAAAUUACUUAAUACCUCCUGUGAUUUUAUAUAAUGUUAGAUUAUCUCUCUAAGGUUUUAAAAUAACCACACAAUCCCCCUGUAAUUUCAUGUAACGUAGAAAAUAGAUGGAAUGCACAAUCAAUUAUGUCUUUUAUACCAAAUGCGCUCUAACAGUGCUUGUGAUAAAAUUUUAAUAUCCAUGUAACCCCCUUAUGAUUUAUAUAAAUAUCCACUUUACUCCCUAUGAUUUUUGCAUUUAUCCAUAUAAUUUCCCUAUACUUUUAUAUAAGGUGAUUAAGCUAUCGAUUGAUUUAUCCUUUAAGUAAGAGCACUAGCACUAUUGAAACGUUAAAGGUGUCACAUGAUAAUAGAUGAAACUAUAGGGGAUCAUAUGCAAUUUACCCUUUUCUACAUACAAGAAUGCUGCAGCUACACGUGUCACGUGGACUUUCCAGGACGUGCUUAAACGUUGACCUGUGCAAAUGAAGGCCGUACUAAACAAGGACACACAUGCAUUCUAUAUUAAUUCAUACGUAAAUUUUUGAAGGUUACAAAACUUAAAAUACCAAUAAAACUAAUAAUAUGAUUCUCUACCAUUAUCCCAAUAUUAACUCUUAUAUUUGCGUAUGAAAUGUUAAUUUAUUUAAAACGUUAUUACCUUAUUAUUAUUAUUAUUAUGUGUAUAAAUCUAUAGAAGUUAUCGCAUUGAAAGGUACGACAUUAUCAUCCUUGAAAUUCUAAGUUUUAUUUUAAAUUUUGAAAUAUAAAUUUUCAAAUGUAAUACAUCAAAAUUUUAUUACUUUUUUACGGUUACUUUUCAAAAUAUUUUUAUAAUGUACGAAAUAUACAUUUUUUUUAAAUUAUACAUAUGAACAUCUAUUAUACGAAUACAAUACGAGUAUUUACUAAUUCACCUAACAGUCAGUCAAGUGUACCAAACCCCUGCACUUAGAAAAAUAAAAAAAAAAAUCCAUGCAAAGUGCCAUAAUCAUGAACCCUUUUUUUUUUGAGGUGUUCCCAAGGAGUGGACUCCGCAGACUAUUCCCCACCCUCCACAAUUUGCUGACAGUAAGGUUCGAACCAGGGAAUCAUGAACCCUUCUAAUUAAUCUAUAUAUAGUUGGAUCUUCACCCUCUAGAAUUAUAAACCCUAGUAAGAAUUGCCGAACCUAGAAAACAAAAACAACCCAUUAUUUUGGCUUAGAAUUAGUUUUAGGUUUCAACAAGUCAACCAUAUAUGAUACGUCAAGUGGUUCAUGCAUGCAAUUGCUUUCAAUGACCGUAAUUUCCAUGAUUGUACACGUGGCGGCCACCAAGCUUUUACAUAACUCUUCUUCUUUUUGAAGCCAAAAGAGAAGACUAGUGAACAAAUCUUUUCUUUUUGUUUUUUUUUUUUUGGGUUCAAACUAAUUAACAAAGAAUGAUUGGAACAAUGGCGGAAGUGGUGAUGUACAUUUUAGGAUUAAAAUUAAACAGCAUUAUGUGUUAAUCAAUUACAUUAAUUAAAAGCCUCUUACUCCUUUUUUCAUAUUGAUGUUCACUUUGAUUAGGGCCUUCCACAUUUGACAGUUUGGUGAUUAACUAGACUCGUAGCAAUUGAAUACCAUGACCAUUUCAAGAAGUCAAUCAUAAUUAACCUCUUCAAUUAACAUCCACUUGUACUAUUGUACAUGAUAAAUUUUCAUCCUGGCUUAACAUAAUCCAAACAGAGCGUGAACUAACCACUAAAAAAAGACUCUGAUUAAUACUUGAGCAAAUUUGUGAGACUCUGAGUCAUGUGCAAAUUCAGCCAAAUGAUUGUUGGUUCAAUGGUCCCAAUUAUGAAUUAUUUGCAAAUGUCUCUUAAUCUUCUUUGGACUUUUUAGCAAUCAACUAAUCAAGGACUUAGAAUUAUCACAAGAAAAUGAGCAAACAUGCUCUUUCAGAUUGCUUAUCAGUCACAUGGUCUCCGUACAUAUCUUAACAUGCAAUUGAAGUAGGCCAUGACGUACCCUUUAAACAACAGUUGACUUGUUCAUUCAUCAAUCAAUCCAUAAUCAUUAACAGGAAAUAACUGCUUCCAACUGAUCCCAUUCCCUACAGAACCUGUAUAUGUAGCACCAGCAGCACCAAUCAAGAUCACACAUUCGCCAAGCUUUGUAUUACACUGCUGCAAUUGUAGCAGAAAAAUGGCUAGCAGCCUGAGAGCUUCAUGCAUUUUCUUACUAUCAUUGACAGCCCUUUUGACCAUCACAAGUGCUGCAACCUUAAAUGUGAUCAGCUUUGGUGCAAAAUCAGAUGGCAGGACUGACUCAACUCAGUCAUUCCUCAAGGCCUGGGCUUCAGCUUGUAGCUCUGUCCAGGCAGCCACCAUCUUCGUCCCUCGAGGGCGUUACUUGAUAAAGGCAGCAGUGUUUAGAGGGCCAUGUAAAAACAGGAUUACUGUGCGAAUUGAUGGUACUCUUGUAGCCCCUGAUGAUUACUGGGGUCUAGGAAACUCAGGCUACUGGCUAUUGUUCGUUCAGGUCAACCGCCUCUCGGUUAUUGGCGGAACUCUGGAUGCCAAGGGAGCUGGAUUUUGGGCAUGCCGCGCGUCAGGGAGAAACUGCCCUGUCGGAGCCAGGGUAUGUUGGAUAAAUCUUCUUUAUAGGAAUCAUGAUAGUAUUACGGUUUUUCUGUUCUUUCAUAGUUUGUUCACUACAUUUUUAUGUGCGCAAAUGCAGUCUAUAACAUUCAAUUGGGUGAAUGAUGGACUGAUCAGCGGCUUGACAUCGAUUAACAGCCAGCUUAUGCACGUAGUGGUUAACAGCUGCAAGAAUGUGAAAGUUCAAAAUGUAAGGAUUGUAGCUCCAGACCUGAGCCCAAAUACAGAUGGCAUUCAUGUCCGAGGCUCAACAGGUGUCACCAUCAGUGGCAGUAGCAUUCAAACGGGAGAUGACUGUAUAUCAAUUGGUCCUGGAACAAGAAACCUGUGGAUGGAGAAGAUAAAAUGUGGCCCCGGACAUGGUGUCAGGUAACCUCAAGUCAGAAAAUUUUCGCAGUAAAAAUAGUAAUUAGUAUUCUUCAUUCUUACUCAUUCUCAGAUUGCACAUCCCAAAGAAGAAGAAAUUAGCUAAUGGAACAAGCAUGUUAAUUGCAGCAUAGGGAGCCUGGGCAGAGAUUUCAAUGAAGAUGGCGUCCAAAAUGUGACACUAAUAAAUUCAGUGUUCAGUGGAUCCGACAACGGCUUGAGAAUAAAAUCAUGGGCAAGACCUACCACUGCAUUUGUCAGCAACAUCAAAUUUCAGAAUAUCAUCAUGAAGAAUGUGGAGAAUCCUAUUAUCAUUGAUCAGAACUACUGCCCCGUCAACCGAGGUUGUCCUCGCCAGGUAAUAAAUGAACAGAAACAGAUGAUGAUAGACCACAAAUUAAUCCAUUUCUUGCACAAAUCAAAACUUACUAAUCAACUUUCGUGUGUUUUUUGUUCUUUUUCCUGCAGACUUCUGGUGUAAAGAUAGAUCAAGUUAUAUACCAAAAUAUACAGGGAACAUCAGCAACACCGGUCGCUGUCAUUUUCGAUUGUAGUCCUAGUAAUCCUUGCAGAGGCAUCAAGUUGCGAGACAUAAAGCUCACCUAUUUGAAUAGGAAAGCACAAUCACUUUGCAAGAACAUAGGAGGAACUGCAGCGGGAGUCAUCAUGCCAGAGAGUUGUUUAUAACUCCUUUUUUUUCUCCCAUAAAUUUUUUCUCUUCAUUUAGGAUCAUACGAACACAUGAAUUCCUGCUUUCAGGGCUUGUUUUAAUUCCAACCCCAUGUAACUGCUGAUUGUAAUAAGGAAGCAAGAUAACAAGAUUUGAAUAGAUUCUGAUAUAUGAUACAAAAAACCACACCAUCUGCAGUUCAAAAUUUCGAGCGCGUUUUUUGAUGAUCUUUCUUUCCAUUUUUUUCCUGUCUUUAUUGACACACCAGUCUUAUAUAUGUGUGCUAAUUAGUAUAUGCUUAUUAUGCUAUACAAGUAAUUAGCAAAUGAUAAAAGUUAAUUAUGUACAAGUUAAUUAUACCCAUUGUAAAUAUUAACUCACAGCUAGUACAAAGAAACCAAUACGAUGUCAAUUCCCAACGCUAUUUAGCUUCUGCUAGUAGAAAAUAUUUGAGGCAAAGCAGCAGCGGCUACAACCUACAAGAUCGGCGGCUAUUCCGCCUGACAAUGCUCCGCAGUUGCUCCACGUGUCUCGUGGAACUGUAUCAGUGCCCCCACUUCUCUUCAGCCUUCACUAUGGUGUAUUAAAAAGAAAAACAAAAGUAAACCUAUAUAUAUGGAUUUGGGGCAGGGACAGUCAUCAGGCGGAUCGUUCCUGAGCAGUUCACGGUCAAGUUUGGAACAAAAAAAAUUAUACAGUCCAAAUUUCAUCUUCUACCUCGUUUUUAACAACAUGUGUGGGACUCACAAUUUUUUGUGGGUCUAAAAUUAUACGUUAUUGAAAAUAAAUUACACCAUAUAUAAACAGAGUUACGUUGUAUGCAAAAUGCACAUAAUCUUUCAUGAAUGGUUGCACCUGCAACAGUUCCCGCCCCUGGUCCCUAUAUAUAUAUAUAUAUAUAUAUAUAUAUAUAUAUAUAUAUAUAUAUAUAUAUAUAUAUAUAUAUAUAUACACACACUCACACACACACACACAUAUACAUAUGCAUUACUCCAAAAAAAUAUGAUAAAACUCUCGUUCACUAAUAGAUUAGCGUACUAACGGAUUAAAUGCACGUCAUAUGUAUAAAAUUAUAGACUUAAAUCUAAAUUUUGUAUAGAUAUUAUGAAUCCAAAGUCGUGUACAAUAUACAGUUGUUAGUGUAGAAAAAAAUUGAUCCAAAAAAUAGAGGGUUGUGACGCGUGAUAUAGAUGUAAUUUUCUUUUUGUUUUUUUUCUUGCUACACAAUUUCAAUAUUCUUUAGAUUAAAUAACAAAGUUCGAUCCCUAAGAAAAAAAUUGAUGGCUUCUUGUAUGUAAAAAAAAAAAAUUAAUAAAUAAAGUGUAUUGUAUAUUUUUUCAACGCAUAAAUAUGCUUAAUUUUACGGUAAUAUAACCAAGCCGUACUUAAGCGUUUGACUAAAUAGAGUAUAAGUGUACAAUUAAAGCCGUACUUAUGAGCUAUGAAUGAAUCCAAGGAAGAACAAAUAACAUGGCAACCAACGGGUUCAUGCAUGCAUUUACUUCCCAAGACCGUAAUCUCCAUACUUAUACACAUGGCUUCAUAAGUUUCUUUGGCUCUAAAACUAUUAAUUAUUUCUUGUUUAAUGUGAAUUGAAUAAGCCAAUUUAGAUAUAGAAUAUUCCUUUUGGCAUCAUCAAUCUAAUCAGUUAAUACUUAGACCCGUUUUUCAGAUUCAAAAUGCUACAGUGGUGUUUUUGAAAAACAAAUCCAAAAACAGCUAAUUCAAAUGGAGCCCAUGUUUUUGCAAAUAAUGGAAGAAGUUAUGUCCAUGGACAUGAGAAGAGUACAUGCAUGGAGUUGAAAGUGGGAUUUUUGGUUAUUCUUUUUUCUCAUAUAUAUGCUGCUAGAAUACAUUGAUUCUAAUUUUCAGUGCAAAUUACUAAUGUUUACUAAGGUUUGCUUCCAAUUCUUGAGUCAUUUUGAAGGAUCCUAAGAUUAUUUUCCAAAACCUUCUUAGCUAUAUAUGCUUGCAUGUAUAAGCUUGCCUACCUUGUCAUUCAUGUCUCAAUGAAUAAUAUGAGCUUUUUUUUUUUUUUUUGUGGUUCAUUGUAGUUUCCUUAUUUCUUCCAUUAAUCUUGCUUGAAAAUAAUGUUUCUAGGACCUAGCAUCUUGUAUGACAGUGCCAUUUUUACAGUUUGCAAUAAAAAAUUAGCAUUGACAUUGAAUUUUGUGGCCAUGCCAGAAAGUCAUACAAUUGAUUAAUUGAAGAUCAAGCUGUAAUUUAAAAUUAAAUCUUUGACCUUUAAGCAAUAUUCCCUUUUCAUUUUAUGUCAACCUUUUUUAUUUUAUUCUUUUCUUUAAAUGAGAGGUUUUAAACUCAGGAUCUCCGAUUUAUUUAAACCCUAAACCGCUCAAUCCAACCCUCCUCUUCUCUUCGUGUAUGUCAACUUAAACGUUAAGUUACUGUUCAAGACUAGAAGUUAUAAGCAAGCAAUUUUGUAUGCCAAAGAGCCAUGUGCUAAUUCAAACGAAGGAAUGAUAUUUGAUCAUCAGCUCAAUGGAAUCUCAAAGUGUUUAUCAAGUAACAAACCUGUUGACUUCUAAUCCCUAGCCACCACUCAUUUCUUGGUACCCAUUUGUAUAAAGUUUUCUUGUUUCAAAAACCAAAUUAAAAAGUUAGAACUAGUAUAUGAAAAUGGUGUGAAAAUGCUCUUAUGAUAGCUUAUCACAUGGUCACCGUACAUAUCAUAACAUGUAGUUGAAGUAGGCCAUGACGGACCAUGAACAACAAUUGACUAAUUCCAUGAUUCCACCAUCAAUCAUUUGUACAUUAACAGAAGAAAAUAAAAAAAAAACUGCCAUCUAACUGUUGCCUCAAUCCCUUUACCCCAGAAGACAAUCUGUAUAUAUAUGUAGCACUCAUUGCCAAGAUCAGAAUUGCACAGCUUAACAGUUCACAGAGCCAGAGGCCAGUACGCAAAAUGGCUAAGGGCAAUAGAGUUUCAUCCAUUCUUUUCCUUUCUUGCGCAACCCUUUUGAGCAUAACAAGGGCAGCAUCCUUCAAUGUGCUCAGUUUUGGAGCAAAACCGGAUGGCAGAACUGACUCAACUCAGCCAUUCCUUAAGGCCUGGGCGUCAGCUUGUAGGUCGAUCCAACCGGCCACUGUUUAUGUCCCUCGAGGGCGUUACCUGAUAAAGGCAGCAGUGUUUAAAGGACCCUGUAGAAACAGAAUCACUGUGAAGAUUGAUGGGACUCUUGUUGCUCCUGAUAACUACUGGGCUCUUGGCAACUCGGGAUACUGGCUAUUGUUCAUUCAGGUCAGUAGGCUUUCGGUCAUCGGCGGAACACUGGAUGCUAAGGGAGCAGGGUUCUGGGCAUGCCGCCAGUCAGGGAAGAACUGCCCAGUUGGAGCAAGGGUAUGUAUCCUUACCAUUUUAUUGUCGCUGAAUUUCAGUGACAGAAGCAUAUAGGAAAAAGUGAGAGAGAAUCAAUAGUUUUCAAGUAUAGUAAUUUUUUUUUUUAUUUUAUGGAUGGAGUCCGGUACCUGGGAAUUUGCAUAACUCAUAUUCACGUCUGUAAUUGCAGUCUAUAACAUUCAAUUGGGUGAAUGAUGGGCUGAUCAGCGGCUUGACAUCAAUCAACAGCCAGCUUAUGCAUGUUGUGGUUAACAGCUGCAAGGAUGUAAAAGUUCAAAAUGUAAGGAUUGUAGCUCCAGACCUGAGCCCAAAUACUGACGGCAUUCAUGUCCAAGGCUCAACAGGCGUUACCGUCACUGGCAGUAGCAUUAAAACAGGCGACGACUGCAUAUCAAUUGGUCCAGGAACAAGAAACCUGUGGAUGGAAAAGAUACAGUGUGGCCCUGGACAUGGCGUCAGGUACUCAAUUGCAGCAUUUAGGUAGACUUCCUAACAAAGGAUGUUAGCAUGUGCAAUUGACUGAUACAAAGUGUCUAAAUUGCAGCAUUGGGAGUUUGGGCAGGGACUUCAAUGAAGAUGGUGUGCAGAAUGUGACACUCACGAAUUCGGUGUUCACUGGAGCUGAUAAUGGAUUAAGAAUUAAAGCAUGGGCAAGGCCAACAACUGCAUUUGUUAGCAAUAUCAACUUUCGAAACAUCAUCAUGAAGAAUGUGGAUAAUCCUAUAAUCAUUGAUCAGAAUUACUGCCCAAACAACCAAGGAUGUCCUCGUCAGGUAAUAAGCUAGUAACCAUCAAUUAUGCAUCACAGAUUAUCAAUUGACACUAGGAAAAUCCUCCACCAUCACUUAUUCCCUUUGAUCAUUUGCCUUUUUCUUUUACAGACUUCUGGUGUAAAGAUUAAUCAAGUCACAUACCAAAACAUACGAGGCACAUCAACUACUCAGGUUGCUGUGAUAUUUGAUUGUAGUCCUAGUAAUCCAUGCCGAGGUAUCAGGCUGCACGACAUCAAGCUCACCUAUUUGAACAGGAAAGCACAAUCAUUUUGCAAGAACAUCGGAGGGACUACAAAAGGAGUCAUAAUUCCAGAAAGUUGUUUAUAAACAGUUUCAGAGCUCCCUCCAACUUUCUUUUCUUCUCUUACCAAAGAUUUUUGCUCUUUCAUUUGGACAGUUAACCGAUCGAUUCCUGGUUUCCGGGGCUUGUUUUACUUCCUAUCCCCUGUAACUAUUCAUUGUAAUCAGGAAGUAAGACUUGGGGGAUUUUCACCCUUAACUGUAGUUUAAUUAAACAGAUCCUGCUGAUGCAAGAGUCUAUCUGUACGACACUGUGAGGAAAUGAAUAGUUGUAUGUUCCUCUUCUACAGUAAUACUCUUAAUUCUUGCGCAAGUGCAUUGAAAUGACAAAUUAAAAGACAAAACCAGUAAACUAAUGAUUAAUACAUCCCUAAAGAAACGCAGUGAUUAUCCUGUUUAUGCAUGCAGUCAAACAUUCUAUGCUUGUUCUUUAUUCAUUUUUUAACUUACCUGAUGAUAUGUGAUUCAUAGACAUGGCCAAUUUAGUUCAGCUUCACUUCCAGUGCAUAGUUAACGAUAUGUUUGAUUACUUGGUCAUGUCUACAUUAUAGGUGAAUGCAAGUAGAUAGAUGUUCCCGCUUGACCAAAUUUUAGGUGAUUUUAGAACUUAUAUGUGGUGGACCACUGCAUAUUUGCUUGAGGUAUUUUCGUCAAUGUUUUGAAACUCGGACCGUUAAUUGAACCGAUGAGAUGCUCGGGUCGAAAUUCAACCAAUCGGGCGGGUUCAAUCCUGAUUCAAUGAAUUUUUUAAAAAAUAAUUUAUAUAAAUAUAUAUAUGUGCACAAAAUAAGACAUGCAAUAAACUAAUUUAAGAUUUUACAUGAUGAAAAGUUUGAUAUUUUGAAAGAAUUUGGAUUUUCACUAAAAAAAUUUUAUAAGUAUAAGUUAAAACAAACAAAUUUCAUCACAAUUUCAAUUGUAUCUGUCAAAAAAAUUAUCUUAAAUCCAAUCCAAAAAUACCACAAUAUUCUCAAAUUAUAAAAAAUUCACGUCUUUGGGAAUUAGACAUUGUGAGUUUAAAUUUUAAUUCACGUUUUUUGGAUUUAGAGAUUGCAACUUUUUAAAAAAAAAAAAAAAAAGAAGAAGAAGAAGUUUGGAGGAAAUCAGGAAAAUAGAAAAUAAAGAUGCAAACUUGAUAAGAGGCAAAAAAUGAGAAUAAAGUGAGUGAAUGUGGCAUUUAAUAUUUAAUUUUUAGAGUUAAGGAAAACUUAUUCUUUUUUUAAUUUUUUUCAAUUUAAUAGACAAAAAAAAAAAAAACCAUUGAUUCAACUGUUCAAUCCGAUUCGCAUUAUUCGACAAUUCUUGCUGGUUUUUAAGUCCAAUCAAUCCUAAGUAUGAAUCGGAUCAGAGCUAUGAAAGGUUCGCGAUCCGAUCUGGUUUUCAAAACAAUGCUUAAUGGUAAGCCAAAUUUUAAGCUAAAGUAGAAUCUUGUGCUGUUCCACAUUUAUGUGGAACAUGUUCCAACUGCAAUGGCUGCACGAGCUUUGCAACUAAUGAUCAAUUAUUGAUAAUUCUAUGCAGAGCAAAGUAAUUUUUACUCAAUCUCUUCACAGCUUAUGUAAAAGCCCCGAGUGAAUUCACAAAACAAUGAACAAAUUAUUUACAGGCUCACAAACCAGCGAGUGAACUUGAUUGUAAAAAAUGAGUAAUUUAUUUCUAAUCGCCUAAUGCUAAGGACAUAGAAUAAAUUUUUUCCUUUACUUUCUUAGACCGAAAAAUGGAUUUAUGAUAAUUUACUAAUUAUAAGGAUACACAUAUACAUAUACAUAUACGUAUACGUAUACGUAUACGUAUAUGUAUAUGUACAAGAACAAAGGGGUUGCUUUACAGGGGACUUAUUUCUUGGGGUUUAUGAUGUGCAGUUGCAGCUAUUAUGGGUGAAAAGGAAUGCUCCAUAUGCAACAUGUAAUAAGAUUCAUGUGGCAACGAGAAAGAUGAUAGUCAUAAUGCUAACCCUUAAAAAAUUGCCAAACAAAAAAAAUGGUUCAACUCCAUGACAAAUUUUUCUUUAUCUGCUUAUGCACAUCAAUCAUAUUUGGUUGAACACUCGGCGGAAUGUUCAUAACAAGAGGAUUAAUGUUUACAAUCACAAUAGGUAGAUAGAUCCAAGCUUUAAGGGAAGCCUCCUCCAAUGGGAUCUUUCAAGCUGAUGGUUGACAGUUUUCCUAAUAUCUAAAUGGGCAUAACCCUUCAAAACACUCAUUUGCACAACCAAAACCAAAAUCGCCAGAGAAUUUUCAUCCGGUGGAAGAAGCAAGUGCAUCAAAGCCACACUAUGUUGUAUCACCCACAGUUAUCAGGAAUUGGUUACAGUAAGUGUGAAAAAUACAAGAUUAGCUUUAUCAGGAGCCGCUUAAGACAAUAUUGGUCUAUCCAGUCUUCAUGUUAAUACCCCUAACGGCAAGUAAACACCCACGCUAUAAGUGCCCAGCAAAAUGGCCCUGCAAUUAAUUUGAAAUAAUCAGAAGUGCCUCUGCGGGAACAACUCCAAACACUUUCAGCGUGAAACUUUGCAUCAAAAUCACAAGCUUUUGCACAUUGUCAACAAAGGCACCAAAUAACAAUCGGAAGAACAGGAAUGUUGUGCAGUAACUACCUCAACAACUCUAAUCCUCAGUUUAGAAUGCAAAAAAAGUCUCCAUAUAAGCUCUAUUUAUGCAUCAAUGAAGCGAAGCUACAUAAGCAUAAAUAAAGCUACAUAAACCAUUGCGUAAACUGAACCCUGUCAAUAACUGGAAAUCACGAACUAAAGUUGACAAAUCACACCAUUAUCUUACUGACUCACAUUGUUCCAGUAAAAAGAACCUUCAACUUCCUGGUUUUGAACUUGAAGUGAGCCUCUUAGAGGUAUAUUCAGUUGCAAGAUCAUAUAAACAAGGUCAUAUUUCCCAUAGAGUUCCUAAUCUAGAGAAAGAGAGGACAGAAAAAGAAAACACUCUAGACAAACAAACAGCAUGUUGAACCAGUCAGGACAUGAUUUGUGAUCUACAUUGAUAUCAAAAGAAAUACUCGAGUAUAAAAUGCAUGACUUCGAUCAACUUUUUGCCACCAAUUGGACAAAGAUGCCCCUUCCAAACCCUAUGACUAGUAUAUCUACAAAUACAUCAAGCACAAGCAAAUUCAAAAAACUUGUUUAGCACCAGGUGCAUACCAUUCUCCAUGUCUAAGUCCUUACAUGAUGAUCAAGACAGCAGCAAAACUAAUGAAAAGACCCUUGAAACUAAAAUUGUUGAAAGACAAAAAGAUUCUGUGCAGAGUAAGAAUCUUGCAUCCUCUGAAUAAGAACCAAAUUAAGUAAUUGACUUCUUCAACACUCUAGAUGAAAUUGGCAGCUCAGGGAUAAGACAAAAACCAAGCUUAACAGAGUUGGUUAAAUCAUCAGUUUCCUAGUUGAAAUGCAAUGCCCAUACUUUGCUUACUUAGGUUUUAGACUAAGAAAAAUAAAAAAAAUUGGAGAAAAAAAAAAAAGACUAACCAAGUAAGAGUAAAACAACAUUUGCAUCUAGGAAAUCAUUAUCCCAGAAUAGCCACCAACUUCAUCUGCUAGAAUGAGGAAAAACUGGUUAAAUGAAUAGUUGGCUUCUCAAGACAUGAUGCCUAUUAAAUGUUACAGGCAACAUGUCAAUAGAUGUAAAAAGUCCCCAUGUAUGGGUUUUGCUAAAUAUAUAUAUGUGUGUGCGUGUGUGUGUCCUUUUUCCAAAUAUAGCAAAUUAUAAAAGUUCUGUCAAAAUAAGCACUACCAUUAGCCAACCUACAAUGGCUUCAAAAAAGGGUGAAAACUUAUUUCUCAAGAUAUCAUAAGCAAUUAAAAACCUUUGGCUUCAAAAAGCCCUCAACUAUGAUAGCACCUUUAAGCACAUAAAUAUAUAUUCCUUGAACAAAACAUAAAACUGCAUAUGCUUGUACAAAUGUCCACAUGCAUCUACAAAACCCGGCGUACAAUAUAUGUGGUAAAGAUGUAGGAGAUUCUGCAGCACAUAAGACUGACCAUCAGAUUUUGAGUGUGAGUCAGAUAGAAAAGAAGGCACAGAAUAUUAAAAGUAGCCACAAAUACCCAAAAUUGCAAACAAAUAGGCAUGACUCUAUAAGUGAAAAUCAAGAGUACACUGCUAUUUAUUUGAAUUCUGAAGAAAUUUAAAAAGGAAGUUACACAAGACACCAACUUUUGCUCUAUAUUAUGUGAGAAAUAUAAGAACUUACACCAAGUCUAUUCUAUUGUGUCUUCUUUUCCUUGUUCAGCAUGCCUGGAAUCUUUCUCAACAAUUUAUGAUCAAGCUUUCUGUACUGCACCUGAACAGAAUCAUAAGCCACCACCAACUUGAUAUCGAUUUGAUCUUGGUACUUGUCAUACAGAAAAGGUAGCGAGAGACUAAGAAGAACCCCUGAUUCAAAAGAAAAGAAGGAAGUCCAAGUUAAUCAUAUGUCAGAAAGGUUUGUAAAAUCUGACUCCAAAGAAUCAAGCAGCAAAAUAUCUCACCAAUGUAUAGCAAAGAGAGAAAGUUGAAAAAGCUGCCGAUGUAUGACACCAGCCACAAUCCUGCAGCAACCUGACCAAAGCCACCCAAACUUAAACAUCACACAAUUCGUUUUACCAAUUAGAUUUGAAAUAUGCAAAAAGCAUCACAAGAACAAUAAAACACACCUGAACAAAGAGCUUCAAGUUCCCACCAAUAGCAAUGUCACAUGCAAUCAACAGCACAUUGUUAAUCCACCCUCUCGUAACAUCAGCAGCCUUGGUCACAGUUUCCUCCGAAACCACCAGAUCAGGAAGAGGAGGUAGAGGUCUAAAAUUGCAUCAAUUUCGUCAUUCAAACACAUCGAAAAGGAAAAGCACAUCAUUUUAUAACUCUUAAAGUAAAAGAUCAACCAUUUUCAGACUCCAGGCUACUGAAAUGCCUCCUACUCCAUUCAACCAUUUCUUUCCCCUAUAUACCCAGCUGGACAUUAUGCAGUUUUCAGUGAUUACGCUAAGUAAUUAUUAAUACCACUAGUUCAACACUUUACCAAACAAAUGCUUCGAAGCAUGACUGAAAAUCGAGACCAACAAUUAUGAAUCGAAAUACGCAUGAGUUACCUAUUAAGAAGCGAUGCAGAUUUAGCCCAGAAGAAGAGUAUUACAACGAGAAGCAAGAUGACAUUGGAAAUGAAGGUUAAAAGAUUAUAACCCGCCCGUUCGAAAAGGAACCAAAGAGUGGUUGAACCCACAAGCACGGCAACACUUGUACCCCAUCUUCUCCACAACAACACAUCAGCAACUGUACCCACAAUAGCAGAAACCAAAGGCCAAAAAAGAAAACAAUCAAAAUAUAUUGAAACCAACUCCAAACAACUACACAGCCUAUACGAAACUAAUAGCAAAUGAAAAAAGCAAAACAAACAUUUCACCAUUUAAAAAAUACUCAACCAAACAGCAAAAAUUUCACCAUCUAAGUCAAUGAAAAUGAGAAUCAAUUAGAAACUGGCACAGCCGAUUAAAAAAAAAAAGAUUUUAAAAAAAGUCAGCAUACUACGCAGUAAAAACAAGUCUUCCCCACCAAUACAUAUAUUCCAAUCUGAACACCAUUUAACCAAAUGAAUCGCACCGGAUUCCUAUAGUCUUGAUAAAUAUGAAUAACAUAGCGUACGGGAAAAUUGCAUUGGUGCAUGUUUAUAUGAAUAACAGGAAAGAAAGAGAGGAAGGAAAUGUAUAGUACCAGAACCACCGCCGAGAGCUUGAUGGACUGAAGAAGAAUGCCGAUGAGAGUCUCCCAUGGCGGGCCGGUUUAGGGUUUUCCGAUGAUUAAUUUUUGGAAAAAUUAUUAUUUGGAUUGGGAGGAUGAAUUUUUGAAGGUGGGGUCGGAAUUGGGCGAAGGGGUAGUAAUUCUGCACAAUUGGUGGAGGCUGGUGAGCUGUAACUUUGUACCUACCAUGCAAUGCCACUUUUUAACCUUUUUUUGCUUUGUUUAUAACUACUUUUCCAAUUGAUUGGAUUAAUUAAGUACAAAUUUUUCUUUAAUCUAUAUAUAUAUAUAUAUAUAUAUAUAUAUAUAUAUAUAUGCAUUGAGGAUUUAUUAUACAUAUUCAACUUUCAAUAUAUUUUCCUAACUGAAUGUUGGAAUGAUUAACGAGUAAUGAAAUUAUGGUUCUCUGCAAGCAAAAAAAAAAAAAAAAAUGCAUUACUCAAAAGAAUUAUAUAUUUCCACUUCGAUUAUAUAUAUAUUUUUUCACUUAAGAGUAUCCCAACCUUUAUUUGACCAGACUAAUUCCUUAAGACUAACAAAGCCCCGUCCAAGGAUGUCAACGAGUUACCUCACGAGAGUCGAAUCUGAAACCUUGCAGUAAAAACUAACAAGGAUGCCAGCGAGUUACCUCACCUUGCAGUAAAAGCUAGCGACUAGUUCCGACUGAUACUCCCAUUAUAUACUUUUCUUAGUUUCUGAUGUAAUAUACUAAUAAUCAUCAAAUUGUGAUAUAAUUCAGCUACGUUGUUUUAUUUUCUUUAUACAUGAAGUAAAUUUUAAAAGCAAAUAUGUAGUGAUGCACAUAAUUAAAAGAUGGACCCAAAAAACAAAUAUCAUAAUGUAAUUCGAUUUUGGACAACAUAGUAGUAACGGCUUAAUUUGAGAGCUACACUUGAACGCAAAUCUUUAGCCUUAUGGUUAUGGCUGCUUGGUUCUCUUGGAACAAGAAAAUCACAGAUGGAAAGAGUACAAAGCAUGAAAUCGUUCUCAACAAGAAAAAAUGAUGAGUGGAACCCUUCUCUUUUACGUUAAGUGGACUGUAGACCAAGGGGACUUUUUGCCAAAAAGUUCAGCAGUAUCAUUUUGGCUUUCAGGCAAUGAGCAGCUGUGAAUAGGCUCCUUAAAGAAUACUACUACUUGCCAAACCAGCACUACCACUAGCAUACAGGUUUCUUCAAAAAACCAGUGAAAGAACCAGACAAUUGGAAUGCAUGGCAAGAGGUACCAAAAACUUGGGAUGAAAAAAAAAACAAAAUUAAAAGGCAAGUCAAGAUCUCAGCCGUAGCACACAAAUUAAUUUGGUUAUGCACAGGAUGUAAGUCAUAUUUUCAAGAUACACUUCGCUACAACGCAGUUCACUCCUGGUUUCUUUCAUUCCGCAGAACUUCACCUGGUGACAGAAGUUUCUACUGUAGUUAGAAAUUCUCUGUGGACAGUGCUCUUUCUCAAGGGUUAGUUCACAAAAUUUUUCUAGCAUCACACAUGUCAUAACCCCCAAUAAUGAAGCGUCCCUUGCUUUCUCCAGGCUAAAGAGCUCAUUUUUCACCCAUGCCUCCGCAGGCCCAAACAACACCCCCCCGCCCCCAAAAAAUAUGGAAGCACCGCUGUGAAUCAAAUGUUAAUUACAUGUCAACUUCAUCGUUUGAAUCUGCAUCAUCAUCUGAGGAUUCGUCCUUCUUAUGUUCUUCUCCCCCAUCACUUACUUUGGUCUUCUUCUCUUUCUUUCUCAGUUUUUUCUUCUGGCGUUUCAUUCGCUUCUUUGCUGUGCGCUCCUCCGCAGCUUUUAAUCUUUCUUCCCUCCUCAUAUUAAAUUCUGCUAUUUCUUUUCUUUUUUGGUAGUCCACAUCCAUCCUCGCAAGUCGAUCUUGCUCUUUGCGUCUCAUUUGCCGAUACUGUCUCCCAGAAAAUGCAUGGAAGAGUUAAGAUCUUCAUCACAAUUAACAGAUGGUAAUUGAGUUAAACAAAUACCAUACCAUCAAAUGUUAGGCAACUUUCUGGACUAGACAGAUAAACAUUGAAAAGACAAAACACACGCAACACUACUGCCCAUGAAAAGGGAAAAGACUCGCAAGUGCCCAUCUUACCCAAAAAAUAAAUCUGGUAAAAUACAGUAACUACCUAUGGCCACCUUAUGCCUUCAGUAGGUGCUUAUGUCAAGCAAAGUUCCCCUUCACCCACAAAGGAGGCUAAACACAGGUCUCUUGUUAUCAAGUUCGGUUGGUCCAACUAACUGCUUGUUCCCCAGAUAAAAAUCGCAAAACCCAGCACCCAGCUCCAGCCCAAGCCACCCGUUGCCCCAAAGCGAUAAAAUGAUGAUCAGUUCUUGAACUGGAACACACUAGAAGUUCACUAGUUUAACAAUUACUGAAACCAAUAAAAGAUAAGGAUUCAGAUCAUAGAAAAAUGAACUAAACUAAUGCCAUUUGUUUCUCACUUGUCAGUACUUUAUACUCGAACCGAAAAAGUCAAUAGUUUUCCGGUCACUAAUAGCUCUGGCUUCUCAAUAGUCUUCCUUGAAUUCCUCAAAAUCUUGAAAUGGGUAAUUCCAUGCAUUCAGGUUUUCUGGUAGACGCUCAACAGGGCUCGGAUUGUUUAGAUUGAGAGGUGCUUGGAAUUGAGGUUCAGUAGAGUUUAAAACUUGGUGAAUAUACAAAGAGAAAAGGCUAAUAUUCCAUAUUUUAGAUGUCAACAUGUACAUCGGGUGCACCAACAGCCUAUGUAGUCUCUUUUUCUUUUUUUUUUUUAAUUUUUGUCUCAUUCUUGUGCCCAGCAGCUGGAAACCAAAUCACCAGUACUGAAGCUAUAGAUUCUCAACGUCUGAAGGCUUUCAUUGCAGUGGCAAAAGAAAUUCCUUUACUUACAGGUGAUUAAGCCAAUCAAACAAUUUCUUCACUACGCCACUAUAUUGAGUACUGACCCAGUAAACACAAUUAGCACAACAAUAAUCAGUAAAUGUAAUACCCACUGUAAAUAUUCAUUCAAACAAGGGACUCCAGCAUCAGUUCAGUGAAAAGGCACCAUAGAGGAAAUCAUAAUCUGUUAGCAUCGACUCAGCUGUUCUCAAUCAUGUAAUAAAAGCUGUUGUCAGCCAUUAAGACACAGUUAGUUUGUCAGCUGAUGUGAGCUAAUCAUGAAAUAAUUUGCUGGAUUCUACGAAAUUUAGGACUUCUGUCGAAGUGCCCCUCAAAAUCUUCUGAUAUCUUCUCAAUUCACAGAUUAUUAAAAGCUACAUUUUUUCGAAAACAUAUCAUCGUCAAUUUUACAUCAGCAUUGCGGAACCAUUCUUAGUUACUAUACUUUGGCUGGACUUAGUACAAUCUGCAAACAUCUAAUUACACAGCCGAGCCAAACUCCAAUGACAAAGAACCUAAGUUGGAUUAGUGAUAGGGUCAGGUUAGGACUGUAUAACGGAAAAUUGAUAGAAUCUAGGGUUUAGGACUUCAGGCAGAAGAAAGAACUAAUAAUUACCUGGUGGAAGUCACCGGAGCCAGAACCGGCAGAGCUACCGGAGGUGUUACUAACACGAACGGGGACGCAGUCGAUGAUACGGCGGAGCUUGACCUCGAGAUCCUCCUCCUCGGGGUUAGGAGCUGGCGGAGUGUACUCUACCAGUGCAUUGGAUGACGAAGAAAGUGACGACGAAGAAAGUGACGACGAAGACGGAGGACGAGGCGGCUUCUCGGACGUCGCUACCACUUGCAAGUCGCCAGCGGCAACUGGCACCAUCGCCCUACUUCCUCUUCCUCCUCCUGACGACAUUACGUCUCCAAUCUCUUGUUCUCUGCAAAAGCUCAAAGCCCAGCAAAAUUGGGGGGUUUCCGGUUCGGUCUGAUUUCGAUUGAUCAAUCUAUUCCUCGGCCCACGCUUCCGGUUUCUUAAAUUUUGGAACCGGAACCGGUCGAACCCUUAAAAAGUAUAGUUUUAAUUAGAGGUACAAACGAAUCGAAUCGAAUCGAAUCUCAAUUUAUAUAGUUUUAUAAAACUCGAAUUCAAACUUGAUCUCGACGAGUUCAAAAUGUAAAGAUCAAGCUUGACUUUAAAAACAUAAAAAAAAAAUUAUUUAUUUUUUAAAAAUAAAUAUAAUAAUAAUUGUUUAACAAAUAAUAAAAUGUUAAGGAUAUAUAUAUAUAUAUAAACAAGCGACUCGCGAGCUAAUAAGUUGAGUAUCUUUGAAUUCAAAUUCGAAUUCGAUUUGAUCUGCUCAAAUUCGACUCGAGUUCGAUGUUGAUCAUUCCUGAUUGAUUGAAAAAGUAAAUUAAGGGGGUCAGUCUCUAAAUUUUGAUAUUUAUCUAUUUUUUGUUUUAAUCAAAUUUUUUCUGAGGAUUUCUUGUAUUUUGAUCUGCCUCUAUUCAUUUCAUUUUUAUGUUUUUGUUUUGAAUGCAUUAGAAAAUUUUUUGAAUGUAUUUUCUACUUUUUGAUUUUCUUUUUAUAUUAGACUAAAUAAUAUAGAUUUCUAUAACUAUAUUUAUUUAUAUAUAUAGAGUGGAGAAUGGCGAUUAAAAUGAACUAUUCAUGAAUGACAAAUCGCAAAAUUCUCUACACCUAAAAAAAGCAGAAAGAUCCAAUGAAAUCAUUACAUUAUAUUGACAAUUUCAAAAAACUGUUCAUUCUAUGAUCAUAGUAUGAUGGCGGUUGGAUAAGUAGACCCCCAUCAUCUAGUGGUUCAGGACAUCUCUCUUUCAAUGAGGCAGCGGGGAUUCGACUUCCCCUGAAGGUAGAGUACUGAAAGAAAUUUAAUUAUGGAUUAUCAAUAAAUCUAAAAGUGAUUCUUCAUAGGUCGAUGCUCGAGCGGUUAAUGCGGACAGACUGUAAAUUCGUUGGCAAUAUGUCUACGCUGAUUCAAAUCCAUCUCGACCCAAUAAUUCGCCCAAUUCACCAAUUCAAUUUAUCACGAGAGGGUAUAACCCCCUAUCUUUCAUAAAGAUUCGAUGUGGAGAUAAAAAGAAUAAAAAUCUCUGCAAGAUCCCUUUCACUGGCAUUGUAAUUCAAUUGGUUAGAGCACCGCCCUGUCAAGACGGAAGCUACAAGUUCGAGCCCGGCCAGUCCCGACGGAUCCAAUAAAUACAGCAAUAAAUCCAUCUCCUCCUUUCUAUAAACUAUGAAAGGGGGCGAGGCAUUAGUUCAUUCCCAAAUCAAAAGGGGGUUAAGUUCUAUUUCUUUACUUUUGGUAGGAUAAAAACAUAUGUGGGUGGAUUAUUACAAUUAGUAGUAACAUUACAAUAAGUAUUCCAAGAAAUACUGAGUCUGCUUUUUUUAUUAUUCCCGAUCCGUGGAUAGAAUACUAUAUUUUUUUUGGGGGGAAGGCACGCAUACACAAAAUGAAAUUCACAAUCAAAAAUGAAUUUAACUUCAACAAAAUUCUUCUGAUAGGAUACUCUUCUAAAUUAAAUAAUUUAAUUACUCUUUCUGAGCUCGAACUCGAGCUGCUUACAAGCAACUCAAUUCGUUUGCAAUCCUACUUUUAACAUAUUAUUAGCCGUGCUUCUAAUCUAAAUUCCUUGCCUCUAUUUUCCCUAGUUCUAAAUUUUUUUCUUAUUUUUAUAAAUUGAUUUUAGAGCAGCAAUUGUAUCCUUGCCUCAAUUAUGUUUCUUUACUUUUAGUCGGAUAAAAGCGUAUGUGAAUGGAUUAUUACAAUUAGUAGUAACACUAUAAUAAGUAUUCCAAGAAAUACUGAGUCUACUUUUUUCAUUGCUCCCGAUCCGUGGAUAGAGUAUUUUUUUUUUUUGGGAGAGGGCACGCAUACACAAAAUGAAAUUCACAAUCAAAAAUGAAUUUAACUUUAACAAAAUUCUUCUAAUAGAAUACUCUUCUAGAUUAAAUAAUUCAAUUUCUCUUUUUGAGCUCGAACUCGAGCUGCUUGCGAGCGAGUCAAUUCAUUUGCAACCCUAAUUUUAACAUAUUAUCAGCCGUGCUUCUAAUCUAAAUUCCUUGCCUUUAUUUUUUUCUGGUUCUAAAUUUACUUUCUUAUUUUUAUAAAUUGAUUUUAGAACAGCAAUUAUAUCCAAAACCAACCUUUUUUUGCGACAUAAUCGGAUGAAAUCUUAAUCAAAACCUAAGAUUUGAGAAAGUUAUGUUUUAAAAUUCAAAUCGAGGAAUGAUUCGAUAAAACUCAAAAGUCAAAGGCCAAUGAGUUCAACUGGAUUGGAUCCAUGUUAAAAAUCAGGUGACAUCAUAAAUAUAUAUAUUAAUUUUUUAUAUAGAAAAAUGACCAUAAAUGUACUAGUUAUUUCACUUUGCCCAACAAAUUAAGAAAAGAUAACCAAAUUCCAAAGUUAACAAAUGACAAAUCAUUGUUAAAUACUUAAAAAAGAAUCUCAUGUAAAACACAAAAAUUAACUAAAUUCCAAAGUUAACAAAUGACAAAUCAUGGUUAAAUACUUAAAAAAGAAUCUCAUGUAAAACACAAAAAUUAAUCCUCAAAUUAAUUGUUAAUUUUUCUAAAGUUCGAAAUGACCUUUAUAAGUCUAAAUCUUUUUUAGAGGAUAAGUCUUGAACAAAAUUAAGUCUAAUAUUUAUAAGUUUGCGUUUUACAAUUAAACUGAAAAUGAAAUAUAAUUUCCAUUUUUUUUAAAAAAAAACCCAGAAAACCCAAAAAAAAAAGAAAAGCAUAUUGGUAGUUGAUUCAGAAGCCACCCUAGGUACUCCAUAGAGUUUGUUUCCCUGCAUAUUAAAAACUUCAUAUCCAAUAUGACAGUCGACACAAUUCGUGCAAUAGUUCUCUUAUUCAGGAUAACUUUGAUGCAACUGAGUAAACUCUCCUAUAUCAGACUCAUUUGGCAUGGUGACAAUUUGCUGCAUUUUGAACCACAGAAUAAUUACUACAUUUCUCAUAGUAUAGCUCGUGUUGCUACUAUUCUGAGGAA